GUAAUACCUCACUGGUCAAGCGGCUCUGGGCCGACAAUACAACGGGGCUCAAGCACAGUACCGAAGCCGUAGAUGGGCAUGCCCUGCGGGGCGUGUCUCUGGUAGAGGAGCGUUCUCUAUGCAGCGAAGUCAGACCGAGAGGACUGGUGGAGCGUAGAGAAGUGACCCUGCCGGCAUAAGUAGCGAUAAGAGAGGUGAGAAUCCUCUCCGCCGAAAGCCUAAGGUUUCCUGAGGAAGGUUCGUCCGCUCAGGGUUAGUCGGGUCCUAACGCGAGGCCGAAAGGCGUAGCGGAUGGACAUCAGGUCAACAUUCCUGAACUACCUGAAAGACGUUAUUACGAUGGGGGGACGCAGGAGGCUAGUCCAGCCUACGAUUGGAAGUGUAGGUUCAGGCAUGUAGGGGGAUCCGCCAGGAAAAUCCGGUGGGUCGUGAAACCCUGAGGUGCCAUGGCGAGGCCGCAAGGCCGCAAAGUGGAUGACGCUACGCUGCCAAGAAAAUCCUCUAAGGAGUCUUUCGGGUACCCGUACCGCAAACCGACACAGGUAGGCGAGGAGAAAAUCCUCAGGCGCGAGUGUGAACCCUCGUAAAGGAACUCGGCAAACUCGCCCCGUAACUUCGGAAGAAGGGGUGCUCCGUUAGCGUGAUACACCGCGCGUGUUGAGCGUGAAGGAGUUGCAGUUAAGAGGCCCAGGCGACUGUUUACUAAAAACACAGGACUCUGCUAAGUCGAAAACGACGUAUAGGGUCUGACGCCUGCCCGGUGCCGGAAGGUUAAAGGGAGGGGUUAGCUUCGGUUCGCCGAAGCGAAGCUCUGAACUGAAGCCCCGGUAAACGGCGGCCGUAACUAUAACGGUCCUAAGGUAGCGAAAUUCCUUGUCGGGUAAGUUCCGACCUGCACGAAUGGCGUAACGAUCUGGGCGCUGUCUCAACGAGGGGCACUGCGAAUUUGUGGUACCGGUGAAGACGCCGGUUGCCCGUGGCAAGACGGAAAGACCCCGUGCACCUUUACUACAACUUAGUAGUGAGUGCUGGCGUGUUAUGCGCAGGAUAGGUGGGAGACUUUGAACCGGGCCUCUUGGGGUCUGGGGAGUCAACGGUGAGAUACCACCCUUAGCACUCUGGCGCCCUAACCUCGUUCUGUUAUCCAGAUCAGGGACAUUGCUAGGCGGGUAGUUUGACUGGGGCGGUCGCCUCCCAAAAUGUAACGGAGGCGCGCGAAGGUUCGCUCAGGCUGUUUGGAAAUCAGCCGGAGAGUGCAAAGGCAUAAGCGAGCUUAACUGCGAGACCUACAAGUCGAGCAGGUGGGAAACCAGGCCUUAGUGAUCCGGUGGUUCCGCAUGGAAGGGCCAUCGCUCAACGGAUAAAAGGUACGCCGGGGAUAACAGGCUUAUCUUGGCCAAGAGUUCACAUCGACGCCAAGGUUUGGCACCUCGAUGUCGGCUCAUCGCAUCCUGGAGCUGGAGCAGGUUCCAAGGGUUCGGCUGUUCGCCGAUUAAAGCGGUACGUGAGCUGGGUUUAGAACGUCGCGAGACAGUUCGGUCCCUAUCUGCCAUGGGCGCAGGA
rnacentral:rRNA from 1 species